rnacentral:rRNA from 1 species
CUCAGGAUGAACGCUAGCGACAGGCUUAACACAUGCAAGUCGAGGGGCAGCAUAGAAGUAGCAAUACUUGGUGGCGACCGGCGCACGGGUGAGUAACGCGUAUGCAACCUACCUAUCAGAGGGGAAUAACCCGGCGAAAGUCGGACUAAUACCGCAUAAAACAGGGGCACCGCAUGGUGAUAUUUGUUAAAGAAAUUCGCUGAUAGAUGGGCAUGCGUUCCAUUAGGUAGUUGGUGAGGUAACGGCUCACCAAGCCGACGAUGGAUAGGGGAACUGAGAGGUUGGUCCCCCACACUGGUACUGGGACACGGACCAGACUCCUACGGGAGGCAGCAGUGAGGAAUAUUGGUCAAUGGGCGGGAGCCUGAACCAGCCAAGUCGCGUGAAGGAAGAAGGAUCUAUGGUUCGUAAACUUCUUUUGCAGGGGAAUAAAGUGCAGGACGUGUCCUGUUUUGUAUGUACCCUGAGAAUAAGGAUCGGCUAACUCCGUGCCAGCCGCCGC